GAGUUUGAUCAUGGCUCAGGACGAACGCUGGCGGCGUGCCUAACACAUGCAAGUCGAGCGAGGAGAUUCCCUUCGGGGAUGAACCUAGCGGCGGACGGGUGAGUAACACGUGGGCAACCUGCCUUAUAGAGGGGAAUAGCCUUCCGAAAGGAAGAUUAAUACCGCAUAACAUUACAUUUUCGCAUGAAGAAGUAAUUAAAGGAGUAAUCCGCUAUAAGAUGGGCCCGCGGCGCAUUAGCUAGUUGGUGAGGUAACGGCUCACCAAGGCGACGAUGCGUAGCCGACCUGAGAGGGUGAUCGGCCACAUUGGGACUGAGACACGGCCCAGACUCCUACGUGAGGCAGCAGUGGGGAAUAUUGCACAAUGGGGGAAACCCUGAUGCAGCAACGCCGCGUGAGUGAUGAAGGUCUUCGGAUCGUAAAGCUCUGUCUUCAGGGACGAUAAUGACGGUACCUGAGGAGGAAGCCACGGGUAACUACGUGCCAGCAGCCGCGGUAAUAC
rnacentral:rRNA from 1 species